rnacentral:rRNA from 1 species
ACGCUCGACACCUACUGGAGGCAGCAGUGGGGAAUAUUGCACAAUGGGGGAAACCCUGAUGCAGCGACGCCGCGUGGAGGAAGAAGGUCUUCGGAUUGUAAACUCCUGUUGUUGGGGAAAAAGAGGAUGGUACCCAACAAGGAAGUGACGGCUAACUACGUGCAGCAGCCGCGGUAAUCUGAGCGGGCUGGCAAGGC